AUGGCAGACAUUGACAACCUGCCUAGCUAGGGUAGUUAAAAGAGGAGUGAAUACUCUCAAAAACCUGCAUAAGUGCACAGAUAGAAGCCAAAUUAUAUGAGGAAGUUCACAAUCUUGAAAGAAAGUAUGCUGUUCUCUAUCAGCCUCUAUUUGAUAAGCAAUUUAUGAUUAUUAAUACAAUUUAUGAACCUAUGAAGAAUGUGAAUGGAAACCAGAUGAAGAAGAUGAGAUUUCAGAGGAGUUGAAAGAAAAGGCCAAGACUGAAGAUGAGAAAAAAGGAUGAAGAAAAAGAAGACCCCAAAGGAAUUCCUGAAUUUUGGUUACCUGUUUUUAAGAAUGUUGACUUACUCAGUGAUAUGCUUCAGGAACAUGAUGAACCUAUUCUGAAGCAUUUCGAUGAUACUAAAGUGAAGUUCUCAGAUGCUGGCUAGCCGAAGAGUUUUGUCUUAGAAUUUCACUUUGAACCCAGUGAAUAUUUUACAAAUGAAGUGCUGACAAAGACAUGUAGGAUAAGGUUAGAACCAGAACCAGAUGAUUCUGAUCCCUUUUCUUUUGAUGGACCAGAAAUUAUGGGUUGUACAGGGGGCCAGAUAGAUUGGAAAAAAGGAAAGAAUGUCACUUUGAAAACCAUUAAGAAGCAGAAACACAAGGUACAUGGGACAAUUCGUACUGUGACCAAAACAGUUUCCAAUGACUCUUUGCCCCUCCUGAAGUUCCUGAGAGUGGAGAUCUGGAUGAUGCUGCUGAAGCUGUCCUCGCUGCAGACUUCAACAUUGGUCGCUUUUUAUGUGAGCAUGUAAUCCCAAGAUCAGUGUUACAGUUUACUGGAGGAGUUACGGAAGAUGAUGAUGAUGAGUAUGGUGAAGAAGGUGAAGAAGCAGAUGAGGAAGGGGAAGAUGAAGGAGAUGAGGGAAAUGAUCCAGACUAUGACCUGAAGAAGGAUCAAAACCCAGCAGAAUGCAAGCAGCAGUGAAGCAGGAUAUAUGUGGCCUUGAGGAUAACCUGCACUGUAAUAGCCUAAACACAACUCUUACUUACUGCCUUAUGUUUUUGUAUUUUCUUGGUAGACUACGUAAUUUUUGUUUUAAAGGACAGGAAACUGAUAUUUUAAAGACCAAUUUGUUCUAGCUAGCAUUUUCACUAGUUUUUCUGCCAGAUAUGUUGAAUGCACAAAUUCUGUCACACAUGUUCAUUCAUUGCUAAUAAUUUGGUUCUUCUGGAAUCUUUUUAUGUAGCUCUUGGAGUACAGCUAUGAAAAUUAACAACUGUUAAAGGAAACACUUUUUUUUUUUUCCCGGAAUUUUUUCCUUGAAGAACCAAAGUAUAUUUUCAGCUGUCUGUUGAAUAGGGUUAAGUCUGCUUGGAUUAGCUAUGCCUUUCAUUACUUUGUUACAGAAAUGCAGGGACUUAUACUAAGACAAUUCGUUUAAAAAAAAAAAAUUGGCAUGUGCAGUGGCUCACGCCUAUAUUCCUAGCACUUUGAGAGGCUGAGGCAGGCAGAUCACCUGAGGUCAGGAGUUCAAGACCAGUCUAACACGGUGAAACCCCAUCUCUACUAAAAUACAAAAAUUAGCUGGGCAUGAUGGCAGGUGCCUGUAAUCCCAGCUACUCAGGAGGCUGAGACGGGAGAAUCGCUUGAACCCAGGAGAUGGUGGUUGCAGUGAGCUGAGAUCAUGCCACUGCACUCCAGCCUAGGUGGCUGAGCAAGACUCGGUCUGAAAGAAAAAAAAAAUGGGCAAGACAACUAUAUGGUUAAGAAUUUAAGAAUUUCCAGUAUGACCACACCCAAUAACUGUAUUAGAUUGUUAAUGGAUUAUUGUGUUAUAGGUGAAAUAGUUAACUGUAAAGUAACCUGACUCAGUAUAGUUACUGGUACAACAGUGAGAUGAAUAAGACAGGAUUUUCAGAAGUUAGCCUGAAUUUCACUAUACUUUUAAAUUUAACCUCCAUUAACUAAGCAUCUUUUCUUUGUAGUAGGAUCUACCUUCUGCUUCCCUGGAAAGGAUGAAUUUACAUCAUUUGACAAGACCUAUUUUCAAGUUAUUUGUUGUUUAUUUGCUUGUUUUUGUAGCCUAAAAUAAAAAUUUCAAAUACAA